AUGGGCAGCCAGAGCCUGUCAUAUUUCACAGUGCCCGCAGAACCCGUGGAAAGUUUGCCUGGGUAUCACAGGUGCAUAUCCAGUAACAUUCACCUAAAGGUCAGCGCCUCAGGUGGAAACUGCAUACCUAAUUAUCCUAAAAAUUGUUCCGGAAGAAAGUACACUGUCCUCUCCUGUGCAAGGGACAUUCUGAGCUACCCCGCUCCUCAGCCAUCAUUUGACCCCCAGGAGAUAUGUUCGAGGUGGACUCAGACUUCUGCUUAUUUCUGUCACCAUUAGAGAUGCGCUUUACUUCUUUCAGAAAGAAGCCCUGAUGAGCUUACGGGACCCAGGUCCUCGUCUCUUUCACACUCAUCCUUGUUUGUUACCCAGUUGUCUCUUGAGAACUUCAGAACUGUGUAUGAUCAUUUUCCCCUCCAAGCUUCCUGGUCUCGAUGACAAGUACUCCUGUCCACACCGUGACUCAAGCUAGGGCCAUAGAAGGUGUCCUCUGUCUCCCUGUACCCCACUUCAACGACUUUCAAGUCCUGGCCAUCCUCUCUUCUAUCUUGAGGACAUGUCCUCAUGCUCCACCCUGAAAGCCUUUUUCUGAAUGCAGCUCUCAUCAUUUCUCACUCUAUUAUAAGCAAAGCCUCCCUCUUCUCUUCUCUACACAACUGUCAGAGCAAGCUUUCGAAAGCAUCAAGUCUUCAAGCCUAUGCCUGAUCAUCUCUGAAGACCAUUCUCAGCCUCCCUAACAUGCAUCCACCUGCCCUGGGAAUUCUUUCUCACCUCCGGUAAAGACUGCAGGCGUGAUGGGGCAUCUGCAUUUUGCUGGGUUGUGCCAUGCCUCCCCUACCCCAUGUCUUCACUUUCAAUUCUUUCAUCUGAUGUUCCAGCUUCAAGUCAUUCUUCAGGGCCCUUCUCAAACAUUGUGUCCUUUGGGAAGCUUUGGCUGACAUCUACCCAGUCCCACCAAGCAGAACGACGUGUCUCUGCCCCGGGCUCCUGCCAAGCCAUUGUGUUCCCCAGCACACCUCUCACCACACUGAACUAGACUGCAACAGCUGGCUCCCCUGCCCAUCUCCCCAGCUAGUUUGCCAAUGAGUUCAGCAUAUUUGUUUCUGAUUUCGCAGCAACUAGCAGAAUGCUUGGAAUGAAAUAGUCACUCAAUAAAUAUUUAUUAGAUGUAUUGCUGAUAACCCA
rnacentral:lncRNA from 13 species